rnacentral:rRNA from 1 species
GAUGAAAGCUGGCGGCGUGCUUAACACAUGCAAGUCGAACGGUGAAGCAGAGCUUGCUCUGUGGAUCAGUGGCGAACGGGUGAGUAACACGUGAGCAACCUGCCCCUGACUCUGGGAUAAGCGCUGGAAAAUGCGUCUAAUACCGGCUAUGAGCUGCGAUCGCAUGGUCAGCAGUUGGAAAGAUUUUUCGGUCUGGGAUGGGCUCACGGCCUAUCAGCUUGUUGGUGAGGUAAUGGCUCACCAAGGCGUCGACGGGUAGCCGGCCUGAGAGGGUGACCGGCGACACUGGGACGGAGACACGGCCCAGACUCCUACGGGAGGCAGCAGUGGUGAAUAUUGCAAAAUGGGCGAAAGCCUGAUGCAGCAACGCCGCGUGAGGGAUGACGGCCUUCGGGUUGUAAACCUCUUUUAGCAGGGAAGAAGCGAAAGUGACGGUACCUGCAGAAAAAGCGCCGGCUAACUACGUGCCAGCCGCCGCCGUAAUAC